GUUCAACUGCGGCGUUGGUGACUGCCAAUAAUGUUUUAUGAUCUAUGCUUGCUCAAUUCGGGAACCUAAAAUUACGGCUCGCAGCAGUAGACCGGACUUGCAUCCGGAAACUUUAAGCGAGUCUUUCGGUGCCCACCUGGUUUUACACCAGGUCAAAAACUGAGGUAAAACGGCGUUGCGGUGAACUU
rnacentral:other from 1 species